ACUAACCUUUGUGUAGCAUUCGAAAUAUCAUUCAUAUUUAACAAAUCGAUGAACAUUGACUCACAUGACAGCUCGCUGUAUGGUAAAGAAAAUGGCUGUCGUAUAUCAGCAGGUCCAAAAUUUUAAAAUAAAAUCAAUUAGCAGCGGUGAUAAUUUCAAAUUUGUUUGUGUGUUUACUGUGAAUAAGCAAAAAUGAAAGUCUAAUAUCGACUUUAUUAAGUGCAACCCGUAGAGUGAUCGUGUUAUCCAGGGUGUGAAACUGUUUUUCGAAUGGACAAAAAAUGUAAACAAACACCUGUGGCGAUGAGAAAAAGCGAUGAUGCCGCGUCAACAAUUACUAUGAAGUUUUUAUCAUACAUUCGAGAAGCUUGAAUAUUUCAUUAGAAGUUAUAAUUAAAUCGAAGUGGUUUAUGUCUGUCAAAUUCUUUUCAUUUUUGUACACAUAUGCAAUUUAAUUAUAAAUAUAAAAUUACAUAACCAUCGAAA